rfam:Pan troglodytes isolate Yerkes chimp pedigree #C0471 (Clint) chromosome 13, whole genome shotgun sequence.
UUGCUUUGGCAGCACGUAUACUAAAAUUGGAAAAAUACAGAGAAGAUUAGCAUGGCCCCUAUGCAAGGAUAACACGUAAAUUCGUGAAGCAUUCCAUUUAUUU